rnacentral:lncRNA from 1 species
CUCCCUCAUCUUUCAAAUUCACCAAAAGCAGCACUGUGGAGGCAAUCCUGCAGAUAGGGCUGGAACUGGGUCGAGCCGCUAGGAGGCCCAUCGGAUCGACCCGAGGCCCAUUAGAUCAGGCUUCAGACUCGACCCCAAACCAUUCAGGUCGGGCUCUAGCUAAAAAAAUAGGGCCCGUUUGGCCAUCGGGUUAAGCUCGGACAGACAUUUGGCCC